UGGAAUACUUGAAGACAAUGGGAGUUCUGCUUGAGCCUCGGCUGCAGGCUCAUUAUUUGCAACGAGCCUGUUAUUCCGCACACAGUUAAAUUGUUAGUUGAAAUCUGCACCCACUGUGUCUGUCAUAUUGGGCCGGAUUCUGGGCCCGGUGAAGUCAAUGGGAAAACUCUCGUUUCUUUCAAUGCAGCAUCAGGGUCAUUAUCCAAUUGCUGUAGCCAUGGAGGGCAGAAAAUCAUCUGCUUCGACCCAUUCCCAAAGGACAGACUGAAACCCACUGCACGUCUACUACCUUAGAAAGCAUCUUCUUUGCAGAACUACAGUUCUAUUCCAACGAAGCUAUUUCAUAUAUAAUGGGAGUUCACGAUCUUCCUGAGGAGCCCUGAGACAGAAUCAGAACCCUUGGGAUUUACCAAGUGCUGGCUAAACUAUUCCACUUGCUGAGGCAUGAGGGUGGCUGCUGUGGUUAAUUUAGGAAACACCAGUGGGUUGACUCCAUUAGAUCAGAAAGAAAAAUCUUCUAAAUUAAAUAAAAGGCCCCCUCACCAUGGGCGGCGGGUAUCGUAGGCAGGGGUAGGCUGUGCCUCCCCAAACAGCCUAGCACUGCCCUGCCCACGCUCCGCCCUCAGGCCAGGCCCUGUUCUGCAGUUCCCCAGUGCUCUGCCCUGGCGGGCCCAGGCUGCCUCCCGCAGGGACUCAGGGUGACGGGUGCUGGGGCCGUGCUGCUCGAAGCACCGGGGCUGGGGGCGCUGUGGCCGUGCAGCCCUGCCACCUGGAGCACCAGCACUGUGGGCUCCACCACCCAGCACACCGGGGCUGGCCAUGCCACCCGAAGCAUCGGGGCUGGCCAUGCCACCAGGCUGCCCAGAGCACAGAGCGCUGCUGCCUGGCACUCCGGGCCUGCCGGCCGUGGGACACAGUGCAGCUGGAUGAGGAGAGAGGAAAGGAGGAUGCCCAGCAGAAUGGUUGUAGACGGCUUUCAUGGAAGUUAAGAUGCUCUAGUCUUCUACAGCGCAACAGAUCAAGGGCCUCGGAGGCAGGCAGGCAGCCAUGCCACACGCAGGAGAAACAAAUAACUGGUGGGAAAGAGAAAAAGGG